rnacentral:rRNA from 1 species
UCAGAGUACGUGAAACUGCUUAGAGGUUAAGCCCGAUGAACCUGAAUAUCCAUUAUAGAAAAUUCAUCAUUAUGAUUUUAAUAUUUAUAAUAUUAUAAUAAUGGUGUGCAUUUUUUCUAUAAAAGGACAUUGUAAUCUAUUAACAUAAAUUAUAUUUAUCAUAAGAUCAUUUCGCGUAAGUUUAUUCAAAUUAUUUUGCUUGCAAUUUAAUAUCGAAUAAAUGCAUUUGAUUUGAUAAAGUGUUGAUAGAUUUAUUAUAUAUAGUGCUUAAAUAUAUACACAUAUAUUUUAUAAUAGCAUAUAAAUCAUUGAUUUUUAUGUUUAUUUAUAUGCACUUAUAUGAUUAACAAUGCGAAAGAUUCAGGAUACCUUCGGGACCCGUCUUGAAACACGGACCAAGGAGUCUAACAUAUUUGCAAGUUAUUGGGUAUAAAAACCUAAUAGCGAAAUUAACAUAACUUAUAAUGGGAUUAGUUUUUAGCCUAUUUUUAUAGUCUAUUAAUUCAAUCCCGGGGCGUUCUAUACAGUUAUGUAUAAUAAUAUUUAUAUUAUUUAUACCUCUAACUAGAGCGUACCUUGAGCAUAUAUGCUGUGACCCGAA